GAGGGUGUAGCUCAGUGGUAGAGCACAUGCUUCACAUGCAUGAGGUCCUGGGUUCAAUCCCCAGUGCCUCCA
rnacentral:tRNA from 1 species